AGUCGUGCGAGAAGUAUCUUCGGAUAUGAGUAGAGCGGCGGACGGGUGAGUAACACGUAGGAAUCUACCUAGUAGAAGGGGAUAGCCCGGGGAAACCCGGAUUAAUACCGUAUACCUCCUUCGGGAGAAAGAAGGCCUCUCUUUGAAGCUUUCGCUAUUAGAUGAGCCUGCGUAAGAUUAGCUUGUUGGUGAGGUAAAGGCUCACCAAGGCGACGAUCUUUAGCUGGUCUGAGAGGACGAUCAGCCACAUUGGGACUGAGACACGGCCCAGACUCCUACGGGAGGCAGCAGUGGGGAAUAUUGGACAAUGGGCGCAAGCCUGAUCCAGCCAUACCGCGUGUGUGAAGAAGGCCUUCGGGUUGUAAAGCACUUUAAGCAGGGAGAAAAAGUUAUAAGUUAAUACCUUAUAACCGUGAUGUUACCUGCAGAAUAAGCACCGGCUAAUUCCGUGCCAGCAGCCGCGGUAAU
rnacentral:rRNA from 1 species